rnacentral:lncRNA from 1 species
GCUUCGCUAUUAAAAUAUUUCCCCCCAAUACUGAAGAAUCUCAAACCAGCAACCCUAACGGAGAUUGUGAAGGUUUUCAAAGUGGGGCACCUCGAUUUCUCGAAUCUGUGGUGUGGCGAAUAUCCGUGUUCUUCCGGCUUAACUAGCCUGUUUGCACUAUGCUCAGAAGUCAUUCAACUUCCUGCCAUCUCCCUAACUUGUAUUCUCUGGCAAAAUGAAGGUCUGAGACGUUUCUAAAAGACAGAGUUGGAAAUGAACCAUCAUUGGUGUUGACAGAGAUGCCAAGCAGUCACCUGAGUGCAUAUAGCGU